AACGAACGCUGGCGGCAGGCCUAACACAUGCAAGUCGAGCGAAGCCUUCGGGCUUAGCGGCGGACGGGUGAGUAACGCGUGGGAACGUGCCCUUUGCUACGGAAUAGCCCCGGGAAACUGGGAGUAAUACCGUAUGUGCCCUUCGGGGGAAAGAUUUCUCGGCAAAGGAUCGGCCCGCGCUGGAUUAGGUAGUUGGUGGGUUAAUGGCCUACCAAGCCGACGAUCCAUAGCUGGUUUGAGAGGAUGAUCAGCCACACUGGGACUGAGACACGGCCCAGACUCCUACGGGAGGCAGCAGUGGGGAAUCUUAAACAAUGGGGGAAACCCUGAUCUAGCCAUGCCGCGUGAUCGAUGAAGGCCUUAGGGUUGUAAAGAUCUUUCAGUGGGGAAGAUAAUGACUGUACCCACAGAAGAAGCCCCGGCUAACUCCGUGCCAGCCGCCGCGGUAAUAC
rnacentral:rRNA from 1 species